rnacentral:misc_RNA from 1 species
GAUGAAGAACGUAGUGAAAUGCGAUAAGUAGUGUGAAUUGCAGAAUUCAGUGAAUCAUCGAAUCUUUGAACGCACAUUGCGCCCCUUGGUAUUCCAUGGGGCAUGCCUGUUCGAGCGUCAUUUGUACCUUCAAGCUCUGCUUGGUGUUGGGUGUUUGUCUCGCCUCUGCGUGUAGACUCGCCUCAAAACAAUUGGCAGCCGGCGUAUUGAUUUCGGAGCGCAGUACAUCUCGCGCUUUGCACUCAUAACGACGACGUCCAAAAGUACAUUUUUACACUCUUGACCUCGGAUCAGGUAGGGAUACCCGCUGAACUUAAGCAUAUGAAUAAGCGGAGGA